GAACUGGACUGUCUCUUUCUUCUGCUGAGUGCCUUCUUUGAUAUUUUUUAUCAGAGGAUUUCUUUGAAGAUUCUUUAUUGGAAGUUUGCUUUAUUUUUUCCUUUUUUAUUGAUUCUCCUGAAGCAAGAUGAUUGAACAUUUGCUGACAAAUCAUUUUAUAUUCUUUGGGAGUUUUAGCUGCUGUUAACAAGGCCUGAUAUUGAGCUUUCUGGGCACCAAAUGAGGGUU
rnacentral:lncRNA from 1 species